rnacentral:lncRNA from 1 species
GAUGAAGUCCGGCUCCCGUAAGAGUCCGGAUGAAAUCUACCUGCAGUCGGAGUCGGGGACAAAGUCCGGCUCCCGUAGGAGUCUGGAUGAAGUCUAGCAGGUAGAAACUUGGGUAGAGUCCGUCCGUCGUGAAGAAUCUGAUCGACGCUGGUGGGGGUUUAUCCGUCGGCAGAACAUGAAAAUGUUGCAGAGGCUCGGCCGCCGGAGAGGUUCGGAAAGAUGUCGCCGAAGGUCGGUAGUCGGUAG